GUGAUCUUUCCUAAGUGCUGAAACCCUAUCAGUAUUGUCUCUGCUGUCCACUGUGAUCACAGUAGUGCAAUAUUGCUUAUAGGGUUUCAGUGUUUGGGCAGA
rnacentral:pre_miRNA from 1 species